rnacentral:rRNA from 1 species
UACGAAGGGGGCGAGCGUUGUUCGGAGUUACUGGGCGUAAAGGGCGCGUAGGCGGCGCUCCAAGUUAGGCGUGAAAGCCCCGGGCUCAACCUGGGAAUUGCGCUUAAGACUGGAGUGCUCGAGUGCGGAAGAGGUGAGUGGAAUUCCCAGUGUAGAGGUGAAAUUCGUAGAUAUUGGGAAGAACACCAGUGGCGAAGGCGGCUCACUGGUCCGCAACUGACGCUGAGGCGCGAAAGCGUGGGGAGCAAACAGG